CUGGCCCGACAGACUUUUUGGGUAAGUCUGGGUAAACCGUGGGGUGAUGAUACAUUUGCUUCUCCCAUCUCCAGAACUUCCCUUAAGAGUCAUCCAGCUCUUGCUCAGUGAAGAGGAAAAUGCCUCCAUGGCAGAUGUCAACGCCUCGGUCAGUGCUGCAGGCCGCGCUCUGGGUGGGAGGGGGCGCUUGGCGGGUUCAGGCCAGGGCGGAACCAUCGCUGUGUGGCCUUCAUCUUGUCAUCCAUCUGGAUUCAACUGCCAGAGGAGGCCGGAGCCUCUUGCCCCAUGGGAGGUGCAGGGCAUUGGGAAGUGAGGAAGGCCCAGGACAGAAACCUCGACUCAUCAUAAGCAGAGGCCAGGGUGCCAAGUCACCCCAGCCGAGACCUCUAAGCAUCUUGGUUAUGAUCUGAAAGAAACUAAAGGACAUUUCACCUCCCGGGAGUCUUCCCUGACUUCCCAGAGGGAACAGGCGGCUCCCUCUUCUUGGCUGCCAUGCCAUACCUCAGUCACAGGCAAAGUGGCACAACUGCCGAGUGGUUGGGGCUGUAGAAUCCUGCACACCCAGAAUCAGAAUCCCUGCUCUGCCCCUCACUAGAGCAGGUGUGCUAACUAGACACAUCAUAUAACAGGUCAUCUGUAAACACAGGGACAAUCAUAGCACCUGAGUCAACAGGCCGUAUCACCGUUUAAAUGAUAACGCGUGUCAAGCAUUUAGUCCAGUGCCUGACACACAAGUAUUCAAACAUGAUGACUGCUAUUAUCACUACUGCAAGCCUAGCACUCCCCACUCCACACUCCACAUGGUAAAAUCUGUUGACAUUUGUCACCUGCGCCAGACAAUGCACUCUUUGAGUUUAGACUCCACCUAAGUCACCUUGACACCCCCAGCCCCUGACCAUCUCCUAGGUCUAAACAACCCAUGUUCAAUAUACUGGGGAGGAGGUCAUGAGUCAUGUGUCAGAGGCAAGGUAGGGGCCAUUCAUGUCAGAUUCUCUGCUCGUCAUAUGAGGCCGAGGCGGGGACAGAAUGGAAAACCCUUCACUCUCAACAAACAUUAUUAAGCAAGGACCCGUGACACUCACUGAGCUAGGCUAGAGUGCAAGGGUGCAGAGACAGGUGAGGAAGGUGCUGGGGUCCUGGGGCUCCCGUUCCAGGAGGAAACAGGGAUGAAUACACCCAUCAAGGUGGGAGGGCGUCACCCCCUGGAUGGGGCCUCACCCCCACCCCCAUCCGCCAUCCUCUAACCUAGGUGGCAUACAGACUGGGGACCCUGGACAUGCGGGCCUUUCUCCGCAACAGCCAAGUGGAACGAAUCGAUUCCGCAGUACCGGCCUCGGGAAGCCCCAUCCAACACUGGAUGGUCAUCUCGGAGUUCCAGUACCGCCCUCGGGGCCCCGUCAUUGACUUCCUGAACAACCAGCUGCUGGUCGCGGUGGUGGAGGCGUUCUUAUACCACGUUCCACGGAGGAGUGAGGAGCCCAGGAACGACGUGGUCUUCCAGCCCAUCUCCAGGGAAGACGUGCGCGACGUGUCAGCCCGUGAGUCCGUCCAUUCCGGGGACACUAUGGGGGUCACUGCGGGGGGCGGGUAAACAGAGGUGCUUCAGCCCACACAAACAAGCUAAUUGAGUUUUUCUGUUUGUUUGGUUUUGAGCGAAAACGUGAACAUUUUGUCCAGCUGCUUUUUAGAUUCAAGAGCAGGAGCAGCCAGCGCUGCUGAGGCAGUCACACGUAUACAGCUUCACGGAGCAAGCACCCAGCCAGGGCCUUGCUGACUGUGGCUGCUAAUAAAACAGCAGCAAUUUAGUUUCAUAAAAUUGCUAAUAGUUUUCUUAAAAUGCCAUUGCACUUAAGCAUACACAGGGACACCCCCAUCGUCUCUGCCCUCCAGCGGGAGGAUAUGAAGCUGGAGACUGGAGACUGGCUGGGGACAGAGGCAACUACUCCCUGAAAUGGUGUCACCCUGUGCAAGCACCUUCCCCAGGCCAGGCCAGGCCUCAACACCCAGGCCUCAACACCCCCCAGCACCUUCCCCAGGCCAGGCCAGGCCUCAACACCCCCAAGCACCUUCCCCAGGCCAGGCCUCAGCACCCCCAUCUGAAAAUGAGAUGGGAUUUCUGAGCCCCCUUUCAGUGCUGACAGCCCCCGGUUCUCCCGGAACAGGAAUAAGUUGGCAAGCUUGUCAGAGAAACAAAGGAAUAACACGUCCUAUUUUCUGUAUAGGGCAGAGAACAGGGCAGGGGCUGCCCCAAACACAACAGAAACUGCUGUUUUACUUGGGUCUGGGACCAAGCAAGAGCUUCUCCCAGAAUCCAGGCUAAGCCCGCUCUCUCCCGGAGCAGGGGGUGAAAUCCCUCAGAACUACUGUAUGUUGGGGAGUUGGGGUAGGAGGCACAGGGAGGCAAGCCCUGACUAUGCAAUUAAGGAAAACCUACAAUUUUUAUUAUACAAGCAUCGUACAUUUAUUGCAGAAACUUUAGGAAACACAAACUUAACAAAAAGAAAAGAGGAAAAAAA
rnacentral:sRNA from 1 species